rnacentral:rRNA from 1 species
CCUACGGGCGGCAGCAGUGGGGGAUAUUGCACAAUGGGGGGAACCCUGAUGCAGCGACGCCGCGUGGGUGAAGGAGCGUUUCGGCGCGUAAAGCCCUAUCGGCAGGGAAGAAGGAGGACGGUACCUGACUAAGAAGCCCCGGCUAACUACGUGCCAGCAGCCGCGGUAAUACGUAGGGGGCAAGCGUUAUCCGGAUUUACUGGGGGUAAAGGGGGCGCAGACGGCAGCGCAAGCCAGGAGUGAAAGCCCGGGGCCCAACCCCGGGACUGCUCUUGGAACUGGGCGGCUGGAGUGCAGGAGGGGCGGGCGGAAUUCCUGGUGUAGCGGUGAAAGGCGUAGAUAUCAGGAGGAACACCGGUGGCGAAGGCGGCCUGCUGGACUGCCACUGACAUUGAUGCUCGAAAGUGUGGGUAUCAAACAGGAUUAGAUACCCCAGUAGUC